AUUAAUUCGAUGCAACGCGAAGAACCUUACCUGGGCUUGACAUAUAGAGGAUCGCUACAGAGAUGUGGUUUCCCUUGUGGCUUCUAUACAGGUGGUGCAUGGUUGUCGUCAGCUCGUGUCGUGAGAUGUUGGGUUAAGUCCCGCAGCGAGCGCAACCCUUGUCUUAUGUUGCCAGCACGUUAUGGUGGGGACUCGUGAGAGACUGCCGGGGUCAACUCGGAGGAAGGUGGGGAUGACGUCAAAUCAUCAUGCCCCUUAUGUCCAGGGCUUCACACAUGCUACAAUGGCCGGUACAGAGGGCUGCGAUGCCGUGAGGCGGAGCGAAUCCCUUAAAGCCGGUCUCAGUUCGGAUUGGGGUCUGCAACUCGACCCCAUGAAGUCGGAGUCGCUAGUAAUCGCAGAUCAGCAACGCUG
rnacentral:rRNA from 1 species